rnacentral:lncRNA from 1 species
ACUUUUAAAAGACCAAUCUUAGUCGUAAGUUUUUUUUUUGAAAUCGACUCCAGGUCCAUCCAUCACUUUGAUUAUUGUCCGAUGUUGAGUGCUUUUUCGGUUAUAGUCAUCAGUGAAGUAGGUUCUGUAUUUGAAUAAUCUUACCGAUGUGGAUGCAACAUUAUAGAUACGCUGCUGAUUACAACUUUAGCAUACUGUCGUUCACCAGGAAAAAAACCAUAAAAGUAAUAACCUAGCAAUAUUAUAUACCUCAAUUAUUAUAAUUGCACCCAAUGUGUACUACAUGUUAUGCACAAAAAGAAGGGAUUUUUUGAAACCAGGGUUGGUGUUAUAUAUCGUAGCAGCGCUACGUAGCUGCAUAAGUAGCUGCUUAUAAUAUGCAGUGCUAUUGACCGGCACCGGCAAAAUAGCAAAUUUGCUAUUUAGCCGGCUCUGAUAAAAACUAUAUCUCACUGUAAUUAAAAUGAUCAAAAUCUUGUAUUUAAAAACUUUUGUUACUGUUACUCAUAUAACACUUAAACUUUUAAUAUCAACUUCAAUAUAUUCUUAAAAUUAAACUUUCCUUUAGAAAAAACCAUUAUGUACAGUACCUGUAUAUGACUUAGGGCAAAUCUGAUAUGUUUGAAAAUUCAUGAAAACUAGUUUCGCAAGAAGAAUUAAGAACGAGCUACAGCUCAACAAGAAGAACACCUACUGGAUUCCAAUUGUUGUGGUUGGCAUGUUUCACACAUAUUACUUCCACCAAAUAUCAAGAAACCUGGGAGGCCAAAAGGUUUGACCCAAACUGUCAUCGAUCGGUCUUCCAAAAAAGUGCACCCGUAAAAACAAUAUGUAAAAGCAAUUGUUACCAUUUCAUAAGAAAAGUUCCAAAGAAAUGGGAUUCUUUUUAUUUAGACUGUUUGUUUAAAGCGAUUUAGCAAAAAAUCUGUAAUAACAACAUUGAUAACGAGGAACAAGUUUGAUCAGCAAGACCUGAACUUUUAACUGUCUUGUUUGUCAAUUGUAAAUAUUUGAUUUAAUCAAAAAGUAUUGUCAAAAGAUGCAUGGGAAGCUUUAAGAGCGUGUUUACAAAGAAAAUCUAUCUUCAUAUGCAACAUAAUUUUUUAUUCACCAUAAUCAGAUUCAAAAGAAGCCAGUGUAAUGUGAGUGUCUGUUUGGUAAGUGAACUUUUGGGCUAGACUUAAACAACUUCCAAAGGCAAGAAUGGUUUUGUAACAAUUGCAAAUGUUAAAUCAUGAUUCCAUUUGAAAUUUAUAGCAAUAACUUUUAAUUUGUGACCGUCUGUCAUGUCUGUUUUAUGAGUUUUACGCAAGGAUUUGUAUGGUAACUAUAUAGUUACUAUACAAAUCUUGUUUUACAUACUGAUUUUUAUCACACGGAGGAUAUUUAACCAUAGAUUUUAUACAGAUUUGAAACACUUUAUAAAUAUUUAAAAAAAAAUAUUUUAAAUGUAUAUACAAAUGUUUUCAUGCUUUUAAAUUAUAUCAUAAAGUUAAAAUUAUUUACUAUAAACAUCUUUAAUAUUUUAUUUUUGAUUGUACGUAUUUUAAUGCUUGAUAUUGUCAUGAUUGUGAUAAAAGAUUUAAAUUAUAAUUAAGAUUUCAUUCUCUACUAAUCAUGUCAAUAACAGUUUUAUUCAUGCCGGCUAAUAGCAAAUUUGCUAUUUUGCCGUGGCCGUCAAAUAGCCACUGCCUAUAAAUACUAUGUAGCAAUAGUCUGUGCACACGUUCAAUGCAAAACUAGUAAUGCUACGUAGCACUGCUACGAAUUGAACUACCCGUCCAUUCAUUGGACACCGUCAGUUUACUUUAUUAAUAUUAAUACCUUUAUCCUUUAUUAACUUCCGUCCUUUCAUAAGCCAACGGCUUCUACUGACCCCUCAUCUUGGAUUGUCGUAAUGCGAUGUCUCGUCUCAUAAUAAUAUAUUAGACUUAUUAAAAAAAAUUAUUAGGUACAUGUAUCUAAUGGGUCUGAUCAAGCCAUGGACACAACCCAGUAAAAAGUGAGGGUUCAACUAUAGCCCCCAUGAACAUAUGUUCAAAUAGACAAGACAAUAUUGUUGACAAACGCAUUACAAAUUAUAAAUGGUAAUGACGAAUGGAUAAACAAUUGCAAUACAUAUACAUAAAUAAAACAAUUAAUUAAUAUAAUAUGUGUAAUAUUAAGGUAUAAUGAAAUCUAUUGCAAUAUAUUACAUUUUUAGCUCACCUUCCCAGGGACAAUGAGCUUAUGCCAUACUUGGCGUCCGUCGUCGUCGUCAUCUGUCGCGUCGUCCGUCGUCUGUCGUCGUCGUCGUCGUAACUAUUCAAGAAUCUCUCUCUGAAACUACUGGACAAAUCUUCAAACUUUAACUGAAUGUUCCUUAGGGUAUCUAAUUUAUAAAUGUAUCCGAAGUUUUAUCUAUCAACAAACAUGAUCGCCAUUGCUAAAAAUAGAACAUAGGGGUCAAAUGCAGUUUUUGGUUAUAACUCAAAAACCAAAGCAUUUAGAGCAAAUCGACAGGGUUAUUGUUUAUCAGGUCAAGAUCUAUCUGCCCUGUAUUUCAGAUGAAUCAGACAACCCGUUGUUGGGUGCUGCCCUGAAUUGGUCAUUUUUAAGGAAAUUUUCUGUUUUUGGUUAUUAUCUUGUAUUAUUAUAGUGAGAUAAACUGUAAACAGGAAUAAUGUAAGCAAGUAAGAUUUACAAAUAAGCAACAUGACGGAAAUGGUCGUUGACGCCUUAGGAGUUAAUUCCUUUAUAGUCAAUUUUAACAUUUUCGUAAUCUAGUAAUCUUUACAAAUCUUCUCCUCUGAACUACUGGCAAAAUACUCCAAACUUAACUGAAUGUUCCUGGGGUAUCUAGUUGUAAAUUGUAUCUGAAGUUAUGAUCUAUCAACAACAUGGUCGCAUUGUAAAAAGAACAUAGGGUCAAAUGCAGUUUUUGGUUAUAACUAAAAACAAAGAUUUAGAGCAAAUCUGACUGGGUAUAUUGUUUAUCAGGUCAAGAUCUAUCUGGCCCUAAAUUUUAGAUGAACAGACAACUGUUGUUGGGUUGUGCCUGAAUUAUAAUUUUAAGAAAUUUGCUGUUUUUUUAUUAUCUUGAAUAUAAUUUAGUAGAAAUAAACUGUAAACACAUAUGUUCAGCAAAGUAAGAUCUUCAAUUAAAGUCAAUUUGACCAAAAUUAUCAUUGACCCCUUAGGAGUUAUAGCCCUUAAAGACUUUUUUUCAGAUUUGUUCAUAUGUUGAUACUUUAAAAAAUCUUCUCCUUUGAACGCUGUACAAUUCAGCCAAACUUAGCUAAAUGAGUUUCAGAGUACUAGUUAAAUUUUAUAUUUUAUUUCCUUGUAUUCAAGAACAUAGCUACUAUGGCUAAAAUAGAACAUAGGAGAAAUUAUUUUUUUUUUGCUUUUGAAGAAAUAGACGAUCCAAAAAACAUUUAAAUAAAUUGAUAACCAAAAUAAUCAUUGAUGAGAUUAACAAAGAUUAAGGUGAGCGAUUCAGGCUCUUGAGAGCCUCUUGUACUUCUUGCAUUAAACAAUUUGUUACGAAAGAGAAGAUAAUUUUAGUGCCGUAUAAGAUGUGUCACCAAGGUCCUCCAGAGCAUGUUAGAUAAGGGGAGCUAAUCGUAUUGCGGAACCAGAUUGCUAGAUUAUGUUUGUAGGUAUAGCUAAAACGCAAGGAAGGUUUUCAUAAUUUAAUUACUAUAACAAUUUAGACGAAAUAUGAUAACAAAUCAAUUAGUAAACAUCCAAAUAAUAUCUAUUAAAGUAAAAGUAUCAAUCUAAAUUCAAAUCCCAAAGUAAGUUAUUUCUCCUUAAAAUGUAAAAAUAAAAUAAAUGCCAAAGCUUAAAAACAUAAAUGUAUUGAUCUCAUUUCAAAAUAUAAAGUCUAAAAUAAAUGUUUCCAAAGUAUUUUUUUUAGUUAAUUAGAGUCAGAAUAAAUGUUGUCUCACACUCACAAUCACUGGUGACUGGUAGACAGUCUUAUAGGUCCAGUAUAAUGACAUGAGUAGUGUGAGGUUACGCUUCCGAAACACUGACUGUUUUUCUAAAAUUAUUCUCAAAAUAAAAGGUGAGUCAAAAAUACAUUUUUGUCUAAACACUACAAAGUCAACUAGUAGACUGAUCGACAGUCUUACAGAUCCAGUAUAAUAGACUUUAGUAGUGAAAGGUUAGGUUUCCGAAAGGUGACUGAUUUUCCUAAAUUUCACAACGCUAUUUAUAUUAAAUCCAAAUAUAAAUCAAUAUGACUCGACAUGUAAAUAUUACUCUCAUUAACAAAAAAUAGACAUUAAUUACCAAAGCCUAAUCCUAUAAUGUUUUGAUAAAAAUCUAAACUUUCAAAGUGACAUAUGCUAAUUACAAUUAGUCUUUCAAAAUAAAGUGCUUUGAGCAAACUGUGACAUUUCGAGUACUAAUGCCUCAGCAUAGGUAAAAUUAAUUAAACAGAUUAAUUAAAACUUUUACAAAAUACAAACAUUAAAUUUUCUUUCAUAAAAUAAAACAUAUUUAUAUUAUGUACUAUUAAGUAUAAGAUUUAUUUUAUUUUUAUCGCACAAUGUGGUAAUUUGGAACAUUUUUACGGUUUUGAAUUUGAGCCGAUCUGCAUUUCAUUUGUGCGAUUUUAUCUUCAUUUGCGCCGAUUUUUACAGGUAAAUACAGGUGAAAGAUUAAGAAGAUGCGUAUAGGCCAAUGAGACAACUUCUAUCCCAGUCAUGUUAUAGUUGUUAUUCUUUAGUUCUAUGUUUGUUUGUAUCUUGUUUGUCUGUUGUCCUGUUCAUUUUAGCCAGGCGUUGUCAGUUUAUUGUGAUUUAUGAGUUUGAUUGUCACUCUGAAUCUUUCGUCCCUCUUCAUUUACCAUUUAUCAACCUCUUCUGUAAGCCAGUUGACAAUUUUAAUGAAUGUCAAUCAUAACAUGUAUAUAACUGUUGUCCUCUGCUCACUACGGGAGGUGGAAGUAGUUUCGAGCAAGAUAAGUCAAUGUAAAAGCUAAUAUUACAUACUUUUAAAGUCAAGAAGUAAAAACUAAGUAAAAGCACUCUGUUAAUGCUAAAAGAAGAUUCAAAUCCAUUACAACGAAUACAUUCAAAUCAUAAUUGUUCUUGUCGAGGUGUAUAGGCAAAACUAAUAUAUCAUAAAUUUCGCAACGGGGUCCAUUUUUCUUUGUCGCUUACGUAACUGAUGUGGCAAUUCUAUAGAGUCUAGCUUUUUACAUACGUUACGGCCUGGAUUUCUUGAUAAAAACUGUAAAACAUAUACAUUAUAAGUUGGGGUGAAGCUGCUCGAAAUGAGGUGGAUAGCGUUACAGUGUGCAUUAAUGUACUUAGUCUGUAGGCUACGAAUGUAAGACAUUUGUCAUCAGAGGGAGCGCAGACAUAUUGUCAAACGUGAACAGUCAUGAUUUCAUUUGGGGGAGGAUGUAACCCGGAAAAAAUGGGAUAGCCAUUUACCAAUGAUGCUUAAUUGUCUUAUACUCUGCUUAGCCAUGUAAAAGUAUUAACUACUGUAACUUACUGUAAAUCCAUUAGGAGAAAAUAAAAUCGGCGCAAAUGAAAAAAUGAAAUCGGCGCAAAUGAAAGAUGAAUAUUUUCAAAAUCGGCGCAAAGUCAUACGCCCAUUUUUAAACAAAGCUCUCUAAUACUGAAGUAACCUCUGCAGUGUAGCAGCAUGUUUUACAGAUUUCACAAAUUCUUUCUCUUUCAAUGGCAAGGUUAUGAGCACUAACUCUUAAUUACAAUUCAUGAUCGAUCUGAUCUAUUUUUUAAGAUCAAAUAACCUGCCAUGCAUUCACUCAUUUUUGUAAACCCUGGGAAAAGUUAACUUUGGAGAUGCUGAAAUUUUGCAUGUUGUCCUGAAAACCUGGUCGAUUAUCUUGUUUAUAAAACCAAACAGGGGUUUAAUAGUAAGGUUAUCAUUUUGACAAAUAUGAUAAACCUAGUUUUGAUAAAAAUAUUUAACCUUUUGCCCAUGGGUUGUCUUUUUUGUAGCAUUAUAUAUUUGGUGAACUAACUUCCUUCUGAAUUGAUUAAAUGGUCCAUAAUUUAAUAAAUACAUGUAACAUUAUCCUAUUUUUCAAUGACAGUCUUGCAAGUUUGGAACGACAUGCAUCAUUUGAGGCCUUACAGUGUACUCCCAAGAUUUCUUUAAAUAUAUGCAACUCUUCACAUGUCUUUAAAUGUCGAAAUAAUCCCCCAGAUUUCGCUACAAUAAAGGUGAAUAGGGGCUACUAAGGAAUCAAAUUUUUUCCCCAGAAGUUUACAAGGGUUUAUAUCUAAUCCUAUCAUGCCUAUUGUUUUCUUUAUUUUAAAAUAUGCUUUCCUAGCUUUUUCCAUAGAAAGUGAUGGCGACAUUUAAACUCCAUUAAAUCUAAUAUUAAUACAGGUAACGAUAGUAUAACUGUCUCUAGAUUGCCAUUAUAAUAAAAUUCGUUUAGAAAGACUUUCCGUUGAAUAAAAACCAUUACUUUUGAUUUCUCUGUAUUGACUUGUAAUUUCCAAAAAGAACAGUAAUUACUUAAUGUAUUGAGACAAUUUUGCAAACCUCUUUGCUUCUGUAAUAAUACAUAUCAUCAGCAUACAAUAGUGCAUUUAAUGAAACAUCACCAACUACAACUGGAUCUGCAUUGAUAUUUUCCAAGAACUUUAAGAAUGUCGUUUAUAAAAAAAUUAAAAAGAAGAGGACUCAAUACAUCUCCUUGUUUAACACCACAGUUUGUUCAAAUGAUGGGCCAAGACAUUAGAAAGUUUAAUUCUACAUUUUGUAUUAGAGUACAUUGAAAAUAUUAUAUUAAAAAUAUGUUUUGGUACAUUACUUUGAAGUAGUUUAUGAAAUAAUCCUAUUCUCCAAAUUGUAUCGAACGCUUUUCUAAGAUCAAUGAAAGCAGCAAAUUUUGUUUUGUUUUUGGAUUUAUAAUUGCUGACAAUAGAUUUCACAGAAAAGAUGUGGUCUGCAAAUGUGAUCAAAUGCAUUGAUCAUAAAAAAAACCCAAAAAAACUUCCCCUCUCCAUCCGCCACUGCUCUGAUGACAUGUAGACUGGGGCGUAGCUCCAUAUAUGCUGUCACGCCAUGGUGUGCACAUCGCGGGGUAAAAAAAUAAUAAAUUACGCUGGAAAAUAAAAUAAAAAAACAAACGAGUAAAAAAUAUAAAAAUCAACUUUCACCAAGCAAAUUAGAAAACGAUACAGUAUAGCUAUUUUAAUAACGUCACAAUAAUAUUUCCGUAUGUAAAAUCAAUUGAUUUGAAAGGAGUAGGUUCAGUAAGACCCCUUUUUGGUCCCAAAAUAUAGCAGUUUUAGAAAAUUGUGAAAAUGUAAUCUUUAAGCUAUAUUUUGGAAAGUAAAAUGCUUUUGCUACAUAAAUAUGAGCUGUUUUUGACAAUACAAUGCACAAAUAUCGCGUUCUAGGCAGGGAUGGGGUCGAUUGCUUUAAAUGUAAAUCGAUUAAAUUACAAUUACUUUGCUUAUAAAAUGUAAUCAAUUACAUUACAAUUACACAUUAUUUCAAAUGUAAUUGAUUACAUUAGAUUACUUUUCUUUAAAGUAAUCAUGAUUACUUGUGAUUACUUAUGAUUACAUUGUAUAUAUUUUUUUGUAAUAUUAUAGAAUUUCUAAUAACUUUUUAUCCUCAUGAAAAAGCUAAUUUUGGUGAUUUUUUUUAAAACUUCUAGCAUCAUUAAGUCAUGCUGAAUUACUGAAAUCUUUAAAAUUUAAGCAUUUUGGUUAAUUUUUAGACGGUUUUCGUCUAAUAUGAAAGUGGCCGCAUUCAUGUUCAUUCAUAAUAUUGAAUAUAAGUUGUAUUUGAUGAUAAUACAAAACAUAUAUAAAGGCUGAGGAUGAACAUGGAUGCGGCCACUUUCAUUUUUGACAAAAACCAUGUGAAAAGUGACGUUUUUUGGCAUAUUUGAUAGAUUUUUAUAUUAAGCUUUAAUCAGAGCGUUUUAAUGACUAAAUCAGUUAAAUCUUCACAAAACUAAUCGAAUCAAUUGAAAUAGACACUUUAGUGUUUAAAAAGUCUCCAAAAUCUUUCGUUAGAUGAACCUGAAAUUUGAGGCCAAAAUCAGCCCUUACUGGACCUACUCCUUUGAUUAUAUGAAUAAUAGUAUGACGUGUUUGGAAAAUGUCAACGAGCAUUUGACAUACAAAUAAUCCAGCUAUGAGGUCACUGUAUUUUUACGUAGAUUUCAUACAGUAGCUCGUACAUUUGUGUAAUGCCCACCACAAACUGGAAAACAUUACCUUUCCGAAACAAAGAACAUACUACAUCAGUACAAAAGUCAGGUGUAUUAACAGUUUCCACUUGAUUCCGUCCGUUCGUCCGUCUGUCCACCACACUUGUAAGGGGUAUAAGUAAACUGUUUAAUCUGUAACUCAAGUGUGUUGAACCAUUAUUAUCAAAAUUUGCAAUUUUGCACCUGUUCAAGUGCAAGGGAAUUCAUCGAGUUUUAAAGAACAAUUUAAUACACCAAAUCAUACAGCAUAUAGCUCUGAAACUAAAGCAUGUAGAGCAAAUCUGAAAUGGGUUAAAAGGUUCAUCAGGUCAAGAUAAAUCUGUCAUUAAAUUUUCAGACGCAUCAGACGCAACCCUUUGUUGGGUUGCUGCCCCUAAAUUGGUAAUUUUAAGGAAAUUUUGCAGUUUUUGGUUAUUAUCUUGAUCAUUAUAUUAGAUAAAGAUAAACUAUAAACAGCAAAAUUGUUCAGCAAAGUUAGAACUACAACUUAGUCCAAAAUGUUCAAUUGACCCUAGAAAGAGUUAUUGCCCUUUAAAGUCAACUUUUUACAAUUUUUCUUAAUUUUACUAAAUUUUUACAAAAAAUCUUUUCCUGUGAAACUACUGGGCAAAAUUGAAACAAACUUGACCUAAAUUAUCAUUAGGGUUUGUAGUUUAAAAAAUGUAACGGAUGACCCUGGGAUCAAUAAAAAUGGCCACAAUGGCUAAAAAUAGAACAUUGGGGUAAAAUGCAAGUAUUGUCCUCCAACAAUGAUUACUUUCAAAAUGGAGGAAACUCAAUUUCUUGUUUAAAAAUUUAAGCAGCAAAAGUGACAAUUUAAAGGCUGAAUUUACAAUUUUAAAAGACGUCGUGCAUUAAUCAUCUUUGGUCAGAGUAAUUUCUAGUGUCCAAUAAAAGUUAAUAAAACUAAACAAAACAGCAAGUUAUUAAAAUAAGUUUACUGAAAGGACAUCAAGGGGUUACUGGUACAUUUACAAAAUGUAUGUUCCACUAUUUUUUACCCUGUACAAUAAAGUGUUUACUCCCAAGUGAAGACUAGAACUAUAUGUAAAAAUAACUAACAUUAGAGGCCAAUUAGAUUGAGAUUAACAUGUUAAAUUUUCUUGAUACACAGAUGUCCUUUGAAUCAUUAGAUAAAAAGUUAAAGAUGAUUUACAUGCUAGUGGAAUAUUUGGAAACCAGUGGAAAUAUAAGGCUGAUCAAACAACAGUGUGCAAGAUAUUCACAGAACAAGGUUAGUUUAAUAAGUCAUCUGUCCAUCUGUUGUUCAGUCUGUCAGUUAGUCAGGCAAUAUGACAUAGUUUAUAAUCCUCUCUCAAACCUAGGACAACUUGUACAUGUUUCAAGAGAAAUCUCUACUUGGUGGAAUUUGAGAAAUAAUAUUCAUAAUUGAAAUUGAAAUUCCAUGGAAAUUCAAGUUUUCUUUUUCUUCUGAUUGAUUGACGUCAAGUGCCAAUCAUUUCAUGCUUUAAUUCAGG